rnacentral:misc_RNA from 1 species
GCAAACUUGGUCAUUUAGAGGAAGUAAAAGUCGUAACAAGGUUUCCGUAGGUGAGUAGUUAAUCGUUCGUCUUUAGCCAGUAAAAAAUAGCGUGCUAACUUUUUUUAGGUGAACCUGCGGAAGGAUCAUUACAGAGUGUACCCCCCAUAAAAAGGGGGACCUCCCGUCCUUUGCUGGCCCCUAGAGGGCUUUUGAACUUCUGCUUCGGCGGGGUUACCCGCCGGAACACCCUCAAAACUCUGAGACAAACAGUUCUGUCCGAGAGCUUUUAAAUUAGCGAAAAACUUUCAACAACGGAUCUCUUGGUUCUGGCAUCGAUGAAGAACGCAGC